AAUCAAGGCCAUAUCUAUUAUAGAUCAAAAGUUAUAAUCAGUCAAACAGGGUUGACCAAAACUGCAAAACCAGCGAAUCCAGAAAUUUCUUGAGUGUUGUCCGUGGUCGACUUUGACCAGUAAUUUCUAGUUCGAUCUGAUGUUAUUAUGAUGAUGUUAAGGUUUGUAGUUGUAGUACUACAUGUUGUCUACACAUUAGAAGUGAUAGAGCACAACAAUGUUACACGAUCACCAAGUUAUAGAGGUCCAAAUUAGGCACCUCGAAGCUGUUUUUCGUGAAGAACAGUUUUGGCAGCUACUUUGAGGUUCGUUUUCUCCCAGAUCUGAUGUUUUUUAGAGGUUAUGUUUGUUGGAUCUUUUAGUCUUGUAUUUCCUCUACAAGACACAAUUUAUAGAUUGUCCAAAUUCGUUAAGAUGAGAGAGUUAUUCACGGUCAAAGUAACCCACUCGGUUCUGCUUUAUGAAGAUCUGGGUAGGCUCAAGAACACCUAUAGCGACGGUUCUGUCACUAUAGGGGCCUUUAGUGACAGUUUUAAUUAUUUUUAAAUUUCUGAUUUUUCAGAAAUUAAUUUAAAAAUUAGAAAAAUUAGUUUUUAAUUAUUAAAAAUACCAAAU
rnacentral:lncRNA from 1 species